rnacentral:rRNA from 1 species
AGCAGUCGCCGCGGGAAUACAGAGGGUGCGAGCGUUAAUCGGAUUUACUGGGCGUAAAGCGUGCGUAGGCGGCUUUUUAAGUCGGAUGUGAAAUCCCUGAGCUUAACUUAGGAAUUGCAUUUGAUACUGGGAAGCUAGAGUAUGGGAGAGGAUGGUAGAAUUCCAGGUGUAGCGGUGAAAUGCGUAGAGAUCUGGAGGAAUACCGAUGGCGAAGGCAGCCAUCUGGCCUAAUACUGACGCUGAGGUACGAAAGCAUGGGGAGCAAACAGGAUUAGAUACCCCUGUAGUCCCUGUCUCUUAUAC